rnacentral:rRNA from 1 species
AUUGAACGCUGGCGGAAUGCUUUACACAUGCAAGUCGAACGGCAGCGCGGGUGCUUGCACCUGGCGGCGAGUGGCGAACGGGUGAGUAACAUAUCGGAACGUGCCCAGUAAUGGGGGAUAACUAACCGAAAGGUUAGCUAAUACCGCAUACGCCCUGAGGGGGAAAGCGGGGGAUCGAAAGACCUCGCGUUAUUGGAGCGGCCGAUAUCUGAUUAGCUAGUUGGUGGGGUAAAGGCCCACCAAGGCGACGAUCAGUAGCUGGUCUGAGAGGAUGAUCAGCCACACUGGGACUGAGACACGGCCCAGACUCCUACGGGAGGCAGCAGUGGGGAAUUUUGGACAAUGGGCGAAAGCCUGAUCCAGCCACUCCGCGUGAGUGAAGAAGGCCUUCGGGUUGUAAAGCUCUUUCGGCAGGAACGAAACGCUCUAGAUUAAUACUCUGGGGUAAUGACGGUACCUGAAGAAGAAGCACCGGCUAACUACGUGCCAGCAGCCGCCGUAA